ACCGUUCAUUGGUACCUGCUCGAC
rnacentral:siRNA from 1 species